AAAGUAUAACAUAACUCAUUAUUUAAAAUAUUAUAACAUACAAUAAAAAUAUUUAAAGUCUUAAAGUAAAGAAAUUUCGUAAUAUAAAAGACACGCAAUAAGAAAUUAGGGUUAAAAUUCUUAUAAUAGGUAAAUAAAAAUAUAUAUAUUUUAAUUAAGAAAAUAUAUUUUGUAAUUAAAAAAUAUAUGUGCGGGUACCUGUGGGUACCCGUGGGUUACCCAAAAUACCCACAGCUUAAUGUAUACCUACCUGUUUUAUCCGUAAUUUUUUGGGUUGAAAAAGUUGGUAUCCAUACCCGCAAAAUUGAGGGUAACCCGCUGGCACCUGCGAGUAUGGGUCGAGAUUGACAGGUCUACUUAUCGAUUGACCAAUAUUUUAUACUAAUCUAUCAAUUUUUUAAAUAUUA
rnacentral:lncRNA from 1 species